GCGGGGGGGUGGCGGGGCUCCGAGCUGUCCGAGACAAACACGAGAGGCGUGCAGCUCGGGAGCAGGGGCGAGAGGCAGAGCGCGGGCAACGCGGAGCGCGGGCAAGUCUGAGGAGUCCCGGGGCCCGCUGGAGGCGGCGGGUAGUCAGUCCUAGGGACAGGCUCGAGGAUGGAGAACCCGGGAGCUGACUGGAGAAACGGGGACGAACGGGCAACCCCGGGAGAAGAGGAAGGACCUAAGUAUGAAUUACAUAGACCUCAGUAUAGACUCACAGGAUCUGACGUACACAUGGAAUUGAGUCUGAUUCUCCUGGUAUCUCUAAUCAAAGCCCUGCUGAGUUCAGGCUGCGGAGAAGAGUUGGGGAAACCUGUCUCCUCCAGAUUUGUUUCCUUCUAAACAGCUUGAAGAGAGAGAAAAAUAAAGCG
rnacentral:lncRNA from 1 species